CAAGAUUCGUUUUUUUUUUUAGUUGAAAAACUGCUCUUUUGUUUCUCUUUCCCUCAAAACCUACGCCGACGGUGCUGUGGAAAACUUACAUUAUUCGAAAUACAAAUCCAAAUUUGUCAUUGAAGAAUUCUUCUGAGAGAAUAUAUAUCAAAGUGUUUGGUUUUCAAUGGCGUGGAGGAAUUUGGUAUCAUGGUUUUCUCUUCAGAAUUUCAGAGGUUUGUUUCAGGAAGGCAGAAUGAGGGAGGUGGAUCUCGGAGCACACACCAUUAGAUCUCAUGGAGCCAAACUUGCAAGGAACCACAUGCACGACUGGCUUAUAUUACUCCUCCUUGUAGUGAUAGAGAUCAUUCUGUAUAUCAUCCAUCCAUUUUAUCGCUUUGUUGGAAAGGAUAUGAUGGAAGACCUUAAAUAUCCUUUCAAAGACAACACUGUGCCUACAUGGUCUGUGCCUUUGUAUGCAGUUUUGUUGCCCAUUGCCAUUUUUAUUUUCUUCUACAUUAGAAGGAAAGAUGUUUACGAUCUGCACCAUAGCAUUUUAGGCCUAUUGUUUUCUGUUUUGAUUACUGCUGUCAUCACGGAUGCCAUAAAGAAUGCAGUUGGUCGGCCCCGGCCUGAUUUCUUCUGGCGUUGCUUUCCUGAUGGAAAGGAAUUCUAUGAUCGGUGGGGAGAUGUGAUAUGUCAUGGUAAGGAUAGUGAUAUAAAAGAAGGACAUAAGAGUUUCCCAAGUGGUCAUACUUCAUGUAAGCACAAAAGCUAUAUAUUCUUUUUCCCCAUAUGGGCAAAAUUAUGCAGAAGCUGAUAAAAAAAAUUGGAAGUUUGAGAUUCUCCUAUUGCUGCUUUGAUCAACAAUUCUCAACUUCUAAAGAUUUUUCGUUUCAAAUUCUUUUAUAGUAUCAAAUGAUCUGAAGCAAUUGAGGAUUUCUGUGCAGGGUCAUUUGCUGGCUUAGGAUAUUUGUCAUUGUACUUAUCUGGCAAAAUCAAAGUAUUUGAUCGCAGAGGGCAUGUGGCAAAAUUAUGCAUCAUUUUUUUGCCCCUACUUGCUGCAUCUCUUGUUGGCAUAUCUCGGGUCGACGACUACUGGCACCAUUGGCAGGAUGUGUUUGCUGGAGCUCUAAUAGGGCUCGUUGUUUCAGCUUUUUGCUAUAUGCAGUUUUUCCCAGCCCCAUAUAGUGAAGAAGGAUGGGGACCUUACGCAUAUUUCCAAGCUUUGGAGGAGUCACGUUCUAAUACAAAUGGUGGGCAGACUGCAAAUGCACUGAAUAUGCAGGCCAUGGAUGUACAAGUGGUGAGCUUAGAACUCCGGCAAAUUGGCAAUGGAUUUAGGUUGUUGGAUGAAUUGGAAUCAGGAAGGAGGUGAACUUGUAUAUUUUGUAUUUUGUUUUACUUCAGAUUAUUAUGUACAUAUACAUUAUAAAUUGUGGAAGUUUUUACCUUUUGGGAGCCGAGAAACAUUAGAAAUUUG
rnacentral:misc_RNA from 1 species